rnacentral:rRNA from 1 species
UACGUAGGAUCCGAGCGUUGUCCGGAUUUACUGGGUGUAAAGGGUGCGCAGGCGGACUUAUAAGUCAGGGGUGAAAUCUCACAGCUUAACUGUGAAACUGCCUUUGAUACUGUAAGUCUUGGAUCCGGGAGAGAAUUGUGGAAUUCCGAGUGUAGCAGUGAAAUGUGUAGAUAUUCGGAAGAACACCAGUGGCGAAGGCAGCAAUUUGGCCCGGUAUCGACGCUCAGGCACGAAAGCAUGGGGAUCAAACAGG